GCUCAAGCCUUCCCCUGUUCCUCUAUUUAUAGAUGGAGAAGAGACGGAGAUUAUUGUCAGCGAUAGACCUCCCGAGAUAGUUGCAGACUUUUACUCAACUGACUAACAUCUCCCCCUUAGGAAUCGUUCAAUCUACCGGAAUCGUUCAAACUCCUCCGCGACCAGAUUAUCCGUUCCUGAUUAAUCGUUCAAUCGCUCGAGGGGCUCUCCAGAAAAAAACUCUCGCUGAAUGAAUUCCCUCUCUAUCGGAGAACUCACACCCAUUAUUCUCUCUCUUGGUUGACCGAUUCUCUCUCUCUCUCCGCAAUAUUCUCUUUGCUAAAUCUCUCUCUCUCUCGCUCUAUCUCUUCACUCGGCUGAACAAGUUCGAAGAAAGGGAAAAGCGAUGGGUUCAACCAUGGCCGAAGCUGAGUGCAUUUUCUUUCUCUAGUUUUAAUCUUUGAAUUGGGCUUGGAAUCGUUGUCCUCGGUCUCGUUCUUAUGAUUUUCAGUGUUUGCUUCCAUCAUUUCUAAUUCCAGCGAUCCUCUUGCCACCGCGACACCUCAUCUGCUCAGCCAUUCCAGCCGCGGAUCUUUUCUUCAUUAGCGAUCGGUACCUUCGCUUUAGCGAAGUCCAGCAGCUACGGCCACGGAGGAUCUUCAGUCUCUUUCCUCACCUACACUAGAAGACAACUUAGUUUCCUUCAAUUUACGGUCGAUCCGAUGGAAGAAACAGAGCUAACUACGAAGCUCCGAGAUUCUCCAUCUUCGCUCUAACCAAAAAUACCUCACCGCCGAUUCAAAGUUCGUCGGUGGUCUGUGUCGGUGUUCUGUUGAUAUCAGCCACGCCUACCAGGUUGUUGUGUCUUCUCUCAUCUAAUUCCAGAAUCCACUUCAAUUCAUUCUAGAUUUGUUGAUCUCUUUUGUUCUGUUUUGUUCUGCCUUAGGCAGUACGCUUUGGAUCGCUAUGCCGAGUCAAUGGAUAUGUCAUUGCGCUACAACUUCGAAGAAGAGAACGAUUUUCAGAUAUUGAAGUGCAAUCACUCCAUCGUAAAAAAGAGAUAACUCACUGCAAAGGAGUUCUGAGCUAAUCUCCCUCUCGUAGAGAGGGAGGGAAAGAGAGAAAAUCCAUGAAAUUGACUGAAGGCAUAUAAAUGAGGAAUUAAUGGAGGGGAAGUAGAUAGAGCUGAUAACAAAAGGGUGCAAAAUCCUUUGAUCGGAGUAAUAAUAUAACAAUAAGAGAACUCAUGAAAUUGAUUUGAACAGAUUUUCUAUUCGAAAUAUUAAUAUAUUGAUUAA